GAAGUCUUUGAUCAAUGAUGGUGCUUGGAAGUCUCGUAUCCUUCAGGCUUUCACGACAGUUUUGCAGAAAUGCAGUCCAGAGUCCUCAAUGAAAUUGGUUUGCCUUUCUGCUAUUGAGGAAAUGUUACUUCCUGAGCAGGAUUGGCUUUAUCUGGAUCCUAAGGAUCUUGAAAUAUUUAAUCAUCAAAUUGCGUGGAUAAGGGAGCUUCCAAAGCUGUUAGUCCUCUUAGGUGAUAAACACCCAUUACAUGCAAAGGCUGUGUUGCGUCUUCAACUUCGUCUUGGACAAGCUGCUAGUUU